rnacentral:lncRNA from 1 species
CAUUAAAGAAUAUUAUACAAUUACUGUCUUUUGAUGAGGUAAAUGUGUAGUUUUAUUGACUUUUGAAAAACUGAUAUUCACUGAGGCCAACGGCCGAAGUGAAUAUCAGUUUUUCAAAAGUCAAUUAAACCACAUAUUUACCGAAACAAAAGACAGUAAUUGUUUUAUUCCAUAUUCCGAGAGAAAUGUAUGUAAUGGCAAUUAUUAACCAAAACCA